rnacentral:rRNA from 1 species
AUUGAACGCUGGCGGCAGGCUUAACACAUGCAAGUCGAGCGAGCGGCGGACGGGUGAGUAAUGUCUGGGAAACUGCCUGAUGGAGGGGGAUAACUACUGGAAACGUUAGCUAAUACCGCAUACGAUCAGAUGCGCCCAGAUGGGAUUAGCUAGUGGGUGGGGUAAUGGCUCACCUAGGCGACGAUCCCUACCUGGUCUGAGAGGUUGACCGGCCACACUGGAACUGAGACACGGUCCAGACGCCUACGGGAGGCAGCAGUAGGGAAGAGUGCACAAUGGGCGCAAGCCUGAUGCAGCCAUGCCGCGUGUGUGAAGAAGGCCUUCGGGUUGUAAAGCACUUUCAUCGGGGAGGCGUUACUCGCAGAAGAAGCACCGGCUAACUCCGUGCCAGCAGCCGCGGUAAUUC